rnacentral:rRNA from 1 species
UGGGGAAUUUUGGACAAUGGGCGAAAGCCUGAUCCAGCAAUGCCGCGUGUGUGAAGAAGGCCUUCGGGUUGUAAAGCACUUUUGUCCGGAAAGAAAUCCUUGGCUCUAAUACAGUCGGGGGAUGACGGUACCGGAAGAAUAAGCACCGGCUAACUACGUGCCAGCAGCCGCGGUAAUACGUAGGGUGCAAGCGUUAAUCGGAAUUACUGGGCGUAAAGCGUGCGCAGGCGGUUUGCUAAGACCGAUGUGAAAUCCCCGGGCUCAACCUGGGAACUGCAUUGGUGACUGGCAGGCUAGAGUAUGGCAGAGGGGGGUAGAAUUCCACGUGUAGCAGUGAAAUGCGUAGAGGUGUGGAGGAAUACCGAUGGCGAAGGCAGCCCCCUGGGCCAAUACUGACGCUCAUGCACGAAAAGCGUGGGGGAGCAAAACAGGAUUAGAUACCCUGGUAGUCCACGCCCUAAACGAUGUCAACUAGUUGUUGGGGAUUCAUUUCCUUAGUAACGUAGCUAACGCGUGAAGUUGACCGCCUGGGGAGUACGGUCGCAAGAUUAAAACUCAAAGGAAUUGACGGGGUCAUAGCUGUUUCCU